AAUCUCCAUUCGACUCAUCCAUUUCACACAGUAACCUCCACAGAUCUCUCUCCUUAAAAGGAGAGAGAGAAAAGAUGGGCAGCAGUUGCCACUCAGGCCUCAGACCCUGUUUGGAGGCGUAUUUUGUUCUGGGGGCUGCCUAAGGGACCCCAAGACUGGACAGAUCCCUGGGAGCCUGGAACCAGACCCAGAGCCUGCCUCUCCUGUGCCCUAGGCCCUCCUGUGGCUCAGCUCACUGCCUGGCUUACAGGCCCGUGCUUAAGGAAGCUGGGCAUCCCCUUGGCAUGAAACUUACCUCACCGUGCAAGGGAAUGUUAGCACCUGACCCAGUCAGGACCCCACAGGUGGAGGCUCAGGGUAGGUUAGGUGUCCCGUCAGAUGCAAAAGGAGAAGCUUAGUCAUCAUUCCAAACCUCACCUGCAAUUUUGGUAAAGUGGUGAACCCGCCAUAUUGUAGCUCUUCCUCAAAAUGGUUGCACAAUCCUUUUCCUACCUACUACAAGAAUGAGCUAUGGUCAGAAACUGGCAAAUUUCUUAGUCACUUUGCAAGUUUAUGAGUUUUGCAGAUGUCCACAAUAAUUUGGCAAAGCAAUUAUUUAAUUCCAGUAACUUGAAUCAUCCUUCAAAAGAGGUUCCUCCCAUUGGGCCACCCUAGAGAAUUGCCCUUUGAGUUAUUUACUUAUUUAAAGACACAGACCUAGCAAACCGUGACUUAAUGGUCUUUGAGGCUGGACCUCUGUGAUUAAUUAGUUUGAAAGCCAAGGUCAUGAGUUGAAUUAAUAGUCCAUUUCCUUUGACAUGGGGAAAAGGUGAUUUAGAUCUACAGCUUCUUGAAAGGUGUGGCUGCCUUGUUCACACCACAUCCCCUUGCUGGCCGGGUGAGGGACAAGGGGUGAUGUGAGGACGCAGCUUGUACAGGGGCCCAAAUUUCAAGAAGCCCACAUGCUUAGGAGAUCCGAAGGUCUGGCUGGGGAGCCUGUGAUGUAGGCAAUCCAUGGUGGGUUUAUUAUUUCAGAAGGGUGUUAAAGGAUUGCAUUGUUCAAAGGAACAGUGGGUGGGGAGAUAGUUCUCCCGGGGAACCAGCUGUGACAUCCAGCUGCUGUCCCCAGACUUCCAGGAGCAUAAAACCCAGGGUAUGUUGAAUCCCAUUUCUAGGAACAAAGUCUUCAAGGGUGUAUUUGCUUUUUGAGAAGGUAUAU